UACGUAGGGGGCAAGCGUUGUCCGGAUUUACUGGGCGUAAAGAGCUCGUAGGCGGAGAUCUAAGCGUGGCCUGAAAGCCCCCGGCUCAACCGGGGAGUGCGGCUGCGAACUGGGUUUCUUGAGGACGAUAGAGGAGAGUGGAAUUCCUGGUGUAGCGGUGAAAUGCGUAGAUAUCAGGAGGAACACCCGAGGCGAAGGCGGCUCUCUGGGUCGUACCUGACGCUGAGGCGCGAAAGCGUGGGGAGCGAACGGG
rnacentral:rRNA from 1 species